UUUACAAAUGGCGGUCCCAGAGCAGCGAGAAUAUUAUUGUGCGAGUUCUCUAACUUCAAUCGUCAAUGAAGAUUGAGGGGAAAAUAAUACCACACGGAAAUAUUCUGAAGAUAUAAAUAUGUCAACCAUAUUUAUUUGACAACAGAUUUCUCCUCCUGCCGGGUGUUUGUUGUUCCAUCUUAUUUUGACAAUGAAGAGGUCCAAUGCUUUGCUACAGAAGGUUUCAUCACAACUGAAGGGAGACAUAAUCAAGAAACCAACAGAAGAGGAUGAUCUUGAGGCCUAUAUCAAGAGUCUUUCACAGAAGACAGCACAACAUAAGAAAUCAGUAAAUUUUGAAGACAUAGGUGAUAUAUCCAUUUCUAGUGAGUUGGAUACAAAUUCAUCUACCCAACAUAAAAAAAAUGUUCCCACUGUCGGAAGCAAAUUUCUGAAAAAGAAUACUGGACAAAAAACUGCACCAGCUCCUCAGUCAAAGUUUUUAAAGAAACCACAAACAUCCGCAGCUAGUCCCAUCCCAACUGUUUCUUCUCAACCACGCCCUGGCACUUCCAGGGGGGCUCUACAGCAACAAGCAAAGGGUCCCGUGUACGGACAGCCAAGACCAGGGACACAGAAAUCCUCCUCAUUAGACAAGGCUGCAGCUCUCACUCAGAAGAUUGCUGGAAGACAAACUUUUGCAAACACCAAAAAUGUUUUUACUCUUGAGACAGACAGUGAGGACACAUGUACAUUGACUACUCCACGAGCAUCCAACCCUACCCCCGGUAAAAGACAAAACAACAGGGUCCUUAGCCCUAGUCCUAGAUCUGUGUCCUCUGACAGUGUCAAAAUAGGGAGAGAUGGUGGCAAAUUCAUGAAAAAGAAACAACCUGCUCCUGCAGAGGAAAAGUCUGCACCACAUAGAAAACCAGAGCCUAGUGGCAGGAAAAGUCCUGUUCCGAAAGCUAAGCAGGCAGGAGAAGGCCAGAGAAAGUCAGCAUCUCCAUUUCUGCUGAAGAGUUCUCAAAGAUAUUCCACAGAUGUUGUGUUAUCGUCUGAAGAGGAGAGUUUGGCCGAGUUUAUCACUGGGCUUGACGCUGACUCCUCGGAGGAUGGUAAAAUUAGGGAAUAUAUGAAAAGGAUCAAGUCCAAUGAUAAACUGAAGACCCGAGUUCCAUCACCUCCUCCCAGGAGGACUCCCUCCCCAGAUGCCAAACCUCCCACGGCUAUCCGAAGAACUCCAUCGCCACAGAACCAACGCAGGUCGCCCUCCCCAAAAUUCCACAGGAGGUCACCAUCCCCGGUGUUCCGAAGGUCAAGGUCAUCUGAUGAUUCUGCACUUUCGGACUCCCUCCAAAGUGAGGUUAUAGAGGAGAGAGACGAGAGUGACGCACAAAGUAUCAGUUCAGAAGAUGGAUUUAAAUUCAAUCUCAUGGAUGCCAAUUCUUUUGAGCCGGUAGUGUUUGAAACAAAAUCACGAAAGACAACCAAAUCUCCUGUUCAGAAGAAAUCAGCCAAAUCUCCAGUAGAAAGAAGGUCAAGGGAGACUAUGAAAACUGCCAGUAAACCAAGAAAAGAAUUAGAAAAGAAACCCAAGAAAGAAAAGAAAAAUGAUCUAUUUAGUUCAUUUGGACUUCACACGGUAGAAGAGUUGUUGGGGGUAGGGGAUAUUUCUGAGGUUCGUGAUAUAAGUGAAGCAUCAGAGAUUCGGACAGAAUCUUCUCAGUCUGAGAUUCGUACAGAGAAAGAUGAACCAUUUGUCUUUGGCCAAAGAACUAAGCCAGAACCAGAGUCAGAGAUAGAAAUUGUCUCCGAGAUUAAAACUAGGGACUACAGCACUCAGCGAAAAGACUCAUAUUCUGAGGACUUUGAACCAAGUAUUUCUGAAAGGAUUGGUAUGAGUUCAAAAUCCCACCGAUUAAAGUCAGGUUCUGAGAUUCGGACACGAUACAGUAGUGAAGGCACUGCAGACGACUAUACAGAAGAAUUUAAUAGUGACACAGACUCUAUAGCCACCAUUUCAAGAACUUCGGCAGGGCCACCAUCUGAGAUGACAAUCAGUGACAGCUAUACAGACCAAUCAGCAUCAUAUAGUUAUACAGCUGAAAAAAGGAAGCCUAAGACGGGACACGUGAAGAUGAAGAGUGUGGAGGUACAAACGGCUGAGCCUGGUCUGACAUUCUCCUGGGAUUCCCGCUACUCUGGUAUGGCCAUGCCUGGGCCAGCCCUGGGGAUGGGCUUUGUUGACCCCACCCCUAUAGCUACACAUGUGGUCAGCCCAGAAACACUAGAAACAAUGACAGCAUACAGUCCAAGUAUGAUAGCCCUGCAUGACAUGUUACGACAACAGCUGGAGCUGACCAGGGACUUCCUCAAAUCACAGAGAUAUAUGUACCAGUGUAUGAUGUCUAGUGUAGACCAACGCCACACCUACACAACGCUGGAGGAUACCAGAAAGUAUAUACGCAAGAACAGAAGAAAAAGACUUACCUUCAAAGAAGCUCUGAGAAUGGUGGAUGCCGAGAUGGAGAGAUAGUCUUUCUUUCAGGAGAACACUGUUAGUGUGUAUUAUUCUUCACAGGAAUAUCAGAACAAUACAGAACAAAUAUCAGCCCCUCCAGAUAGAAUUGCUUAGAGCAAUUAAGCUUCUUAAUACGCUGUGAUUGAAUUCUAUGCAAAUUAUACUGAAGGACUUCUCUUUGGUCUUUAGUUCCAACAUUUAAUACAUGUAACAAUUUCAGUUAUGCUAAGUCAGUUUGAAAGAGAUUCUGGAAUCCCAUUAAAGUCUUAGAAGUUCUGUGUCUGACUCAACAGUCUGUGAGGUGUCAUAUUACUGUCAGAUCAGCCAGGUGUCUGACCAAACAAUCUGUCAGGUGUCAUAUUACUGUCAGAGCAGCCAGGUGUUUGACUACACAGGGAGUCAGUCUGGUGUCAUAUCCCUGUCAGAAUGGUCAGGUGUCUGACUACACAGGGAGUCUGUCUGAUGUCAUAUUACUGUCAGAACAGCCAGGUGUUUGACUACACAGGAAGUCAGUCUGGUGUCAUAUUACUGUCAGAAUGGCCAGGUGUCUGACUACACAAGGAGUCUGCCAGGUUGACAUCAGAUUAUUGUCAGAAUAGUAAAGGUGUCUGACUAGAUAUAGAGUCUGUAUAAUAUUAUAUCAAUGUCAGAAUGGCUAGGUGUCUGAUUAGAUGGAGAGUCUGUCUGCUGUCAUAUCACUUUCAGAACAGCCAGGUGUCUGACUACACAGCUGUGAGUCUGUCUGUUGUCAUAUCAUUGUCAGACUGAUCAGGUGUCUGACUACACAAGGAGUCUGCCAGGUUGACAUCAGAUUAUUGUCAGAAUAGUAAAGGUGUCUGACUACACAGGGAGUCUGUCAGGUGUCAUAUUACUGUCAGAAUAGCUAAGUGUUUGACUUAUUAGGGAGUCUGCUGCCAUAUCACUGUCAGAAUGGCCAGGUGUCUAACGAGAUAGAGAGUAUGUCUGGUGUCAUACUACUGUCAGAAUGGCCAGGUGUCUGACUAGAUAGAGAGUCUGUCUGGUGUCAUAUUACUGUCAGAAUAGCUAAGUGUUUGACUAAUCAGGGAGUCAGCUGCCAUAUCACUGUCAGAAUGACCAGGUGCCUGACUACACAGGGAGUCUGACUGGUGUAUUACUACUGUCAGAAUAGCCAGGUGCCUGACACCACUAACUUGUGGUUGUUUUGGUGCCACUCUAGUGUAACAUACAUGUAUUGCCUUAUUUUAGCUGAGUAGGGGAUACUAACCUGUUAGAGAUAAUGGCUAUUACAGAAGCUGUGACCAGACUGGGGACAUGAAUCUCCUCACCGUCACUGGAGUAGAUAGUAACCAGACUCAGGACAUGAAUCUCCUAUCCGUUAUUGGAGUAGGUUAUAAUUACCCUUAAACAGACUGGCCGAUAUAGUGGCUCAGACAUUGAUGCAUGUCGUGCUGAUGCUGCAAGUCUAUCAGUAAACAGUGAAUCACCAGGACCUGUAAAACAGUUUUAUCUCAUUAAGGAAGUGUUUGUAUGGUAGGAGAUCAGGAUUAGGCUCAUGUACCUAAAUCCAUUGGCUGACACCCUCAUGCCCCCAAAGAUUCAGACACGUGGAAAUAUAAGUAUUACUAAUUAUUAAUUUAUAGGUGAUCUUAUAUGACUCUACCAUCCUUGCACUUUGUCCUUCUAUGUGUUGUGUAAUAUUUCAUUGAUAAUUUGGUAUAAAGAUCACUAUAUUUCCUUCAAUUAGUCUCAUUAUCCCAAUUUAAUAUGUAGGUGACUCUGCUGAAAUAAGAAGUUAUAACUGAGGGUGGAAAUUAGGAAUUUCCGUCCAAAACGAGGAUGCUUGGGAAAGAUAAGCAGUGGUUUCUGUGACGUUUUGACAGAUUCUGCUGUCCCUGUGGUUAUUUAAAAAAACAUUGGGUUUGCUGAGAAGUGUUAUUUCAUUUUGGCAGAUGAAAUACAAAUGUUUUACAGAAACACCCUGAAAGAGAAUACAAAGUGUAUACAUGUAGUAAAAUAAUCUAUAAUGUUUUACAUACGACUUACAUAUUGUGAGGCUGUAUGAUAUAGUAUAUCUGUGAUAUUUUUUAUAGAUCUAGGACCUCGUUAUCUAAUAUGUAAAAAAUGUAAUUGACAUUACUUUGA
rnacentral:misc_RNA from 1 species